rnacentral:misc_RNA from 1 species
UACGUAGGGGGCAAGCGUUGACCGGAAUUAUUGGGCGUAAAGCGCGCGCAGGCGGUUCCUUAAGUCUGAUGUGAAAUCUCGCGGCUCAACCGCGAGCGGUCAUUGGAAACUGGGGAACUUGAGUCCAGAAGAGGAGAGUGGAAUUCCACGUAUAGCGAUGAAAUGCGUAGAUAUGUGGAGGAACACCAGUGGCGAAGGCGACUCUCUGGUCUGUAACUGACGCGGAGGCGCGAAAGCGUGGGGAGCGAACAGG